rnacentral:piRNA from 1 species
UCAUUUCUUCUUGUUGUUGGUUCUU